GGCAACCAGCAGGAACCUCCAGCUGCCCAAGGCCUCGACCACUGGCUCCUCUGAAAGCUCUGGGGAUUCAAUCUUUGCACACCUGUAACCCACCUGCAACCCACCUGCGGACACCAGACUGGCUGGGAACUGAUGUUGGAGAUGCCUGAGCUCAGCCCGCCCCCUUUCCAAGGCGGGGAAAACGGCCAGACACGCAGCUGCACAGAAAGACAUGGGGACUUAAAGGAAGAUGCCUUGGGACUGGAGAAAUACAGGAUAAGAGGAAGUAAUGAGAUGGCAUGAAAACUACAUGGUAUUUUGGGACUCAAAAUAUAAACAACAGGUCAUAUGACCCAGGAAUCCCACUCCUGGGCAUAUAUCCAGAAGGAACCCUACUUCAAAAUGACACCUGCACCCCAAUGUUCAUAGCAGCACUAUUUACAAUAGCCAAGACAG